rnacentral:lncRNA from 1 species
CAGAAAAGUUCAGAAGGACUGGGCUAGUUUUCUAAACCACAGCACACUUUGUCAGAGGGAAUGCACAACAGAAUGG